rnacentral:rRNA from 1 species
UACAGAGGUCCCAAGCGUUGUUCGGAUUCACUGGGCGUAAAGGGUGCGUAGGCGGCGGGGAAAGUUCUAGGUGAAAUCUCCAGGCUCAACUUGGAAAAUGCCUCGAAAACUUCCUCGCUCGAGGGUUGCAGAGGAGAUUGGAAUUCUCGGUGUAGCAGUGAAAUGCGUAGAUAUCUGGAGGAACACCGGUGGCGAAGGCGGCAUCCUGGACCGGCAUUGACGCUGAGGCGCGAAAGCCAGGGGAGCAAACGGG